CCUACGGGAGACAGCAGUGGGGAAUAUUGUACAAUGGGGGAAACCCUGAUGCAGCGACGCCGCGUGAGUGAAGAAGUAAUUCGUUAUGUAAAGCUCUAUCAGCAGGGAAGAAAAUGACGGUACCUGAGUAAGAAGCCCCGGCUAACUACGUGCCAGCAGCCGCGGUAAUACGUAGGGGGCAAGCGUUAUCCGGAUUUACUGGGUGUAAAGGGAGUGUAGACGGCAGUGCAAGUCUGGAGUGAAAGGCGGGGGCUCAACCCCCGGACUGCUCUGGAAACUGUACGGCUGGAGUGCAGGAGAGGUAAGUGGAAUUCCUAGGGUAGCGGUGAAAUGCGUAGAUAUUAGGAGGAACACCGGCGGCGAAGGCGGCCUGCUGGACCGUAACUGACGUUGAGGCUCGAAAGCGUGGGGAGCAAACAGGAUUAGAUACCCUGGUAGUC
rnacentral:rRNA from 1 species